UACGUAGGGUGCAAGCGUUGUCCGGAAUUAUUGGGCGUAAAGAGCUCGUAGGCGGUUUGUCGCGUCUGCUGUGAAAUCCGGAGGCUCAACCUCCGGCCUGCAGUGGGUACGGGCAGACUAGAGUGCGGUAGGGGAGAUUGGAAUUCCUGGUGUAGCGGUGGAAUGCGCAGAUAUCAGGAAGAACACCCGUGGCGAAGGCGGCUCUCUGGGACGGUACUGACGCUGAGACGCGAAAGCGUGGGGAGCGAACAGG
rnacentral:rRNA from 1 species